UAAAAUAAUUGAUUCGAUUGUAGCAGAGAAGAAAAGCAGGCGCUACGCUUGAAAAGCAGGGUCGAGAAUCGAGGAAAGGCAAAAAUCGAGGUUUCAGGACUCAGGUUUCAGGAAGGGCGAAAGAGCAGAAUUCAGAUCGCUUCGCUUGCAGAGUUCAGAGGUGGGUGCUGAAAUCACAGUGACAAAGAAUGGUUCUCCCCCUUUAUCGCAAUAGUUAUGAGAUCGAUAUAGUGAAUAUAAGGGGGAGUUAGAGGGGGUUGGU
rnacentral:misc_RNA from 1 species